CUACGGGUUGCUGCAGUGGGGAAUAUUGCACAAUGGAGGAAACUCUGAUGCAGCAACGCCGCGUGGAGGAUGACACUUUUCGGAGCGUAAACUCCUUUUAUAUGUCAAGAAGAUGACGGUACUAUAUGAAUAAGCGCCGGCUAACUCCGUGCCAGCAGCCGCGGUAAUACGGAGGGCGCAAGCGUUACUCGGAAUCACUGGGCGUAAAGAGCGUGUAGGCGGAUUAAAAAGUCAGAAGUGAAAUCCUAUAGCUUAACUAUAGAACUGCUUCUGAAACUCUUAAUCUAGAAUAUGGGAGAGGUAGAUGGAAUUUCUGGUGUAGGGGUAAAAUCCGUAGAGAUCAGAAGGAAUACCGAUUGCGAAGGCGAUCUACUAGAACAUUAUUGACGCUGAGACGCGAAGGCGUGGGGAGCAAACAGGAUUAGAUACCCGAGUAGUC
rnacentral:rRNA from 1 species